CCUACGGGUGGCAGCAGUGAGGAAUAUUGGUCAAUGGGCGCGAGCCUGAACCAGCCAAGCCGCGUGAGGGAAGACGGUCCUAUGGAUUGUAAACCUCUUUUGUCGGGGAGCAAAAGACGCCACGCGUGGCGUUCCGAGAGUACCCGAAGAAAAAGCAUCGGCUAACUCCGUGCCAGCAGACGCGGUAAUACGGGGGAUGUGAGCGUUAUCCGGAUUUAUGGGGUUUAAAGGGUGCGCAGUGGGCCUGUUAAGUCAGCGGUAAAAGCCCGGGGCGCAACCCCGGCGAGCCGUUGAAACUGGCGGGCUGGAGUGGGAGAGAGGUACGCGGAAUGCGCGGUGUAGCGGUGAAAUGCUUAGAUAUCGCGCAGAACCCCGAUUGCGAAGGCAGCGUACCGGAUCCAAACUGACGCUGAGGCACGAAAGCGUGGGUAGCGAACAGGAUUAGAUACCCCAGUAGUC
rnacentral:rRNA from 1 species